CGGCAUAGCACAGUUGGUAGUGCAUCCGCCUUGUAAGCGGAAGGUCGUCGGUUCGAAUCCGACUGCCG
rnacentral:tRNA from 1 species